CUGAGCUGGCUGUGAGUCUUCCCUGUCCGUCGGGUAGCUCACGGUGAAAUUAAAGACGGAAUAAGCAUGUAGAGCUCGUAGCGUAGGUCUUGCGGACGUGGGUUCGAUUCCCACCACCUCCACCA
rnacentral:tmRNA from 1 species